rnacentral:lncRNA from 1 species
GCUUCUUCAUCUUUCUGUUCUGGAGUUGGGUAGAUCCAGAUAAAACCGUUGUUGCCGAGGAUCACAGAUGCACCACAGGGCAAGUCAUGGAAGUGAGUCUUCUGGCGUUUCACAAGGGAGGGAGAGACCUGAACAAGCACACCCUGGCCAAGCUUCCCGUAUUUCAGACUCCUGGUGUGCAGCGAUACAGCCCCAUCAGAAAAUACAGACUGGACCUCUGCACUGAUGAGGUCCCCUUCCUGCAGAUAGUCCCUCAUCGCAAGCUCGUCUUCUGCUGAUCUCCUUCUCAGUUCCCCACCAGGUAAAUUCAUAGACGACAACAACAGGACUGAAUCCAGCCUGGAAUUGGUUUCCACUUUCCAUCGUUUCUGCUGAACCUCCGUGAUCCGCCCGACCACGAUGUCUCCGACCUCGCCGUUGUAUCUGGUCUUCAGCGGCGUGACGCACACCAGCUUGUUCACCCUCUCCACAGCACCGGCGACCGAGGCGACGAGCUUCUCCUCGUCCACGUACGUGCCGUGGCCCCUCAUGUAUCCCGUGUCCGUAGUGAUGGUGUCUCCGGGCACCACCAGGUGCUUCUCGCCGCCCCGCGGCCCGCUCGGCCCCACCGCUUUGCGGAUCACCGGCAGCCGCAUGGCCACCGCCGCCAUCUUGGGUGCGGGCGGAGCGGCGCCGGCGCCCCCCGUUUACACGUGCCUUCCGGCCGCCAUCUUGGCUGCGGGCAAAAGCGCGCCUGAAGCGUGGGCGCCGCCAUCUUGAGUGAGGGCCGCAGCGAGAGACAUAUCGGCUGGGUGCGGGGCGGCCAUUUUGGUUCCUGGCAGGGAGGGAGGGGGCACGUUUAGCGCGGGCAAAGCGCCUCCGUCCUUCUCUCAGGGGAAACUGAGGCACUUCGUGCCGACACGACGGGAAGGAGACAACGAUUCGGGAGCAGAGCGGAGUCCCAGCGCUGAUUCCAGCGCUGAUUCCUGGGGUUGCUGUGCGCACUUCGCGCUCUGGGAGGUGGCGCAGCGCCCAUCGGUGCCCACCGCAGCCCCCGCCCCGCCCGCCCCACACAGAGCAGCGCGGAGCCCCCACAGCCGCCCGUUAAACGCUAAACGUCCCGAGCCGGUUUUAUUUCGAGUACAAGAGCGAGGUACAAAUGUAUUUACACC